GCACCAGUAGUGUAGUGGUGUCAUACAAGAUUCCCAUUCUUGUGAUCUGGGUUCGAUUCCCGGCUGGUGCA